GACGUAGGGUGCAAGCGUUAAUCGGAAUUACUGGGCGUAAAGCGUGCGCAGGCGGUGAUGUAAGUCAGAUGUGAAAUCCCCGGGCUCAACCUGGGAACUGCAUUUGUGACUGCAUCGCUGGAGUGCGGCAGAGGGGGAUGGAAUUCCGCGUGUAGCAGUGAAAUGCGUAGAUAUGCGGAGGAACACCGAUGGCGAAGGCAAUCCCCUGGGCCUGCACUGACGCUCAUGCACGAAAGCGUGGGGAGCAAACAGG
rnacentral:rRNA from 1 species